rnacentral:rRNA from 1 species
UGCGCAGGCGGGCUUGUAAGUCAGUGGUGAAAUAUUGCCGCUUAACGGUAGAACUGCCAUUGAUACUGCAAGUCUUGAAUAUGGUUGAGGUAGGCGGAAUGUGUCGUGUAGCGGUGAAAUGCAUAGAUAUGACACAGAACGCCGAUUGCGAAGGCAGCUUACUAAGCCAUUAUUGACGCUGAGGCACGAAAGCGUGGGGAGCGAACAGGAUUAGAUACCCUGGUAGUCC